ACAGCAGCAGCCGCGGGAAUACGAAGGGUGCAAGCGUUACUCGGAAUUACUGGGCGUAAAGCGUGCGUAGGUGGUGGUUUAAGUCCGUUGUGAAGGCCCUGGGCUCAACCUGGGAAUUGCAGUGGAUACUGGGUCACUAGAGUGUGGUAGAGGAUAGUGGAAUUUCCGGUGUAGCAGUGAAAUGCGUAGAGAUCGGAAGGAACAUCUGUGGCGAAGGCGACUAUCUGGGCCAACACUGACACUGAGGCACGAAAGCGUGGGGAGCAAACAGGAUUAGAUACCCGAGUAGUCCCUGUCUCUUAUAC
rnacentral:rRNA from 1 species